CAGUCCACGCCGUAAACGAUGGACACUAGUUGUUGGAUUUAUAUUCAGUGACUAAGCGAAAGUGAUAAGUGUCCCACCUGGGGAGUACGAUCGCAAGAUUGAAACUCAAAGGAAUUGACGGGGGCCCGCACAAGCGGUGGAGCAUGUGGUUUAAUUCGAUGAUACGCGAGGAACCUUACCAGGGCUUAAAUGCAGAUUGCAUGGGGUGGAGACACCCCUUUCUUCGGACUAUUUGCAAGGUGCUGCAUGGUUGUCGUCAGCUCGUGCCGUGAGGUGUCAGGUUAAGUCCUAUAACGAGCGCAACCCCUAUUUUUAGUUGCUAACAGGUUAAGCUGAGGACUCUAGAGAGACUGCCGGUGCAAACCGUGAGGAAGGUGGGGAUGACGUCAAAUCAUCACGGCCCUUACGUCCAGGGCUACACACGUGCUACAAUGGUCAUGACAGAGGGCAGCUACUUGGCGACAAGAUGCGAAUCUUUAAACAUGAUCACAGUUCGG
rnacentral:rRNA from 1 species